GUGAACGCUGGCGGUAGGCCUAACACAUGCAAGUCGAACGGCAGCACAGUAAGAGCUUGCUCUUACGGGUGGCGAGUGGCGGACGGGUGAGGAAUACAUCGGAAUCUACUUUUUCGUGGGGGAUAACGUAGGGAAACUUACGCUAAUACCGCAUACGACCUACGGGUGAAAGCAGGGGAUCUUCGGACCUUGCGCGAUUGAAUGAGCCGAUGUCGGAUUAGCUAGUUGGCGGGGUAUAGGCCCACCAAGGCGACGAUCCGUAGCUGGUCUGAGAGGAUGAUCAGCCACACUGGAACUGAGACACGGUCCAGACUCCUACGGGAGGCAGCAGUGGGGAAUAUUGGACAAUGGGCGCAAGCCUGAUCCAGCCAUACCGCGUGGGUGAAGAAGGCCUUCGGGUUGUAAAGCCCUUUUGUUGGGAAAGAAAAGCAGCAGGUUAAUACCCCGCUGUUCUGACGGUACCCAAAGAAUAAGCACCGGCUAACUUCGUG
rnacentral:rRNA from 1 species